AGGGAAAGGUUCCUUGAUAGUUGGGGAAUCCCAAGUCCACUGGCCUUUGGAAAAAGAGAGAUGGGGAUGAAACAGAAGGAAGAGGGCCUCCGGGAAGAAAAUUAGGGACUGUCUAUGAUAUCCAGGGAUUUUGCAAAGACAGUGAGGAUUGUCUGUGAUUACUGAUAGAGCCCCAAGCAGUUGGCUUCUCUAACAGUCUUCUGUGUCCCUUAGUGAAGGCAGAUGUGCAGUGAAGAGGUUAAACACCAAUCCCUGGCUGCUACUGCGGUCUUGAAAUGAUUGGAUUUGUCAAAAGAAUGGAACUUUCCUUGUUGGGAAGUGGGCACAAAGACGCAAACCCGGGGCUUACCCCACCGGACGAUGCAUGGAAUGUGAACACAGGUUAAUUAUUUAAAAAAUGUGUAUCAGAUGUUAUUUAAAUGAUAAUAUAUGCAAUGAUUUUUUCCCAUAAUUUAUCGAAGCCUGUGAGAUGCACUGAAUUUCCUUUGUCACGUAGUUUUGAUUUUGCAGCCUUCUGCAUUGCACACGUGAGCCGGGCAUUAGGGCAAGCUUGAGAGCUCUCGACUACAUUUUUAAACAGUGUUCUGUGAAGGCCUGUGAGUGUCAUGAUAAAACUGUGAAUGACUACUUAGGGACUCUGAUUAGACUAUUGGUUAGGCUCCAGUGGCUUGUAUAGGUCUCCAAUUCCUACUUACUUUGAUGUAUUCCACAAAACCCACCUUGGGGUUUUUUUUUUUUUUUUUUUUUUUUUUUUCUUUUUUUUCCUUUUAAUCUGAUUCUUUCCUCUCUACUUAUUUAAGUUGCCACUAAAAUAAAUGUGCCUUUUGAAGC
rnacentral:lncRNA from 1 species